GUCCAGUUGUCUCUUGAAGGUCUCCAGGGUAAACUCCCCCUCUCUUAGAUCCAAUGGUAGGACGUUUUCGACAGAUCGCAUGGUAUAUACUGCAUAUUACAGAACGUGUGGUAGUAUAUACUGCAUAUUACAGGACGUGUGGUAUAGACUGCAUAUUACAGAACGUGUGGUAUAUACUGCAUAUUACAGAACGUGUGGUAGUAUAUACUGCAUAUUACAGGACGUGUGGUAUAGACUGCAUAUUACAGAACGUGUGGUAUAUACUGCAUAUUACAGAACGUGUGGUAGUAUAUACUGCAACUUGUUUCUGAGAUGCCGAUCGGGUUGAAGAAGACGCGCUAGUGCAUCGGUGCUUCUGCGCCGCUAAGUAUAAUUCUAUCAACGAUCUCUCAUGUUUUGAAAAUAUUUAUUCAUAAGUAAUAAACACUUGAUCAAUAUAUGUAUCUUUUUAUACUUACCAAUCACACAUGCAUUGUUUCUAGGCAAGAGGUUCAACAUUGUUAUCAGACAAGCGUUCAAAAAAUUACAAUUUCUCAAGUAAUAUAUCAUUUAACAGAAUUCAGUUAAUUAUAUUGAACGGAAAUCAUGACGAUUGUCGCUCACGAGACGUGCCGUCAAGAUGAUGUCGUGACGGCAUGUCGUCAAACUAUUUCGUAUUGUAAAUUUCUUCUCAUCUUUUGUUUGAUGUUUUUCGUAACUUGGAGGUGGCUCGUUUCCAAUGGAAUGUUAAUUUGCAAUCUAACGAUAUCUCUUUGUAACCUAAGCUUAUUGAUGGCGUACAUGAAAUUAUUCUAAGGUUUUACCGAGUUUGUGUUCAUGUCAAUCUAUUUAUGACUCAAUUUGCAAUUUGUCGUCUUCUUUCGGUCAAAUUAAAUAUUCUUAUCAGUGUUAGGUUGGCAAGGAAGGUUUUGAGAUGCGUAAACUAAAAGUUCCAGUCGUCAGUAGGCACUUCUCACGCCUUCCGCCACUUGUCAGUUCUAUGAGGUCGCGGCACUUAACCCGCUACCGCCGUAUGUCGC
rnacentral:lncRNA from 1 species